GCUGCUUCGCUGACGAGUGGCGGACGGGUGAGUAAUGUCUGGGAAACUGCCUGAUGGAGGGGGAUAACUACUGGAAACGGUAGCUAAUACCGCAUAACGUCGCAAGACCAAAGAGGGGGACCUUAGGGCCUCUUGCCAUCGGAUGUGCCCAGAUGGGAUUAGCUAGUAGGUGGGGUAACGGCUCACCUAGGCGACGAUCCCUAGCUGGUCUGAGAGGAUGACCAGCCACACUGGAACUGAGACACGGUCCAGACUCCUACGGGAGGCAGCAGUGGGGAAUAUUGCACAAUGGGCGCAAGCCUGAUGCAGCCAUGCCGCGUGUAUGAAGAAGGCCUUCGGGUUGUAAAGUACUUUCAGCGGGGAGGAAGGGAGUAAAGUUAAUACCUUUGCUCAUUGACGUUACCCGCAGAAGAAGCACCGGCUAACUCCGUGCCAGCAGCCGCGGUAAUACGGAGGGUGCAAGCGUUAAUCGGAAUUACUGGGCGUAAAGCGCACGCAGGCGGUUUGUUAAGUCAGAUGUGAAAUCCCCGGGCUCAACCUGGGAACUGCAUCUGAUACUGGCAAGCUUGAGUCUCGUAGAGGGGGGUAGAAUUCCAUGU
rnacentral:rRNA from 1 species